rnacentral:rRNA from 1 species
UUAAUACCGGAUAGAUCAAAGAUACUGGAAUGUUCUCUGGUCCAAAACCCCGGUGCCCAAGGAUGGGUCUGCGGCCUAUCAGGUAGUAGUGGGUGUAACGUACCUACUAGCCAGCGACGGGUAAGGGUUGUGAGAGCAAGAUCCCUGAGAUGGAUUCUGAGACAUGAAUCCAGGCCCUACGGGGUGCAGCAGGCGCGAAAACUUUACACUGCGGGAAACCGCGAUAAGGGGACCCCGAGUGCCAGCACCUAGUGUUGGCUGUCCAGCUGUCUAAAUAACAGCUGUUAGCAAGGGCCGGGCAAGACCGGUGCCAGCCGCCGCGGUAACACCGGCGGCCCGAGUGGUAACCGUUUUUAUUGGGUUUAAAGGGUCCGUAGCCGGCUUAUUAAGUCUCUUGGGAAAUCUGGCGGCUCAAUCGUCAGGCGUUCA